UGGAAAAUAUGUUAAUGAAUAAUUGUGUAAAAAUUUAUUGUAUCAGUUUUGAUUUUAUAAGACAAUUAAGCAUGCUAAGUUAACGAUAAAGUAGGUAUUUAUGAGUAUUCGGGGUGCACAAAUAUCUAUCUUGUGCUAUUGACGCCAAAGUAACACGAACAACUGUAAACAAAGCUCUUGUCGGAAUUUUUGCUUUGCUUGUCACGGAUUUAUUAUGUCAAGACCACACGGCAUGUCUACUAUGUAUCAUCGCUUUUGAUUCAAUGUGGUCGUCGUCGUUUUGUAUCUUGCAAUAUUUCAAGACGUCGGAUGUGAUUAUUCGUGCAUCUGUAAUUACAACGUAGAGCUAGCUGUUUUUGGAUCCGCAACUGAAACAGGCAAUACCAUCGGCUAUUUGUACGAGUUUGAUUGUAAACCACAUGUUCUUGUAGACAAGCUAAAUAACAAGUGGCUUGCUGUGGCAUUUGAAAACCAGUUAGGUUUCAUACAAAAGGAUGCACAAAUUUUGAUACAGACAUGUCCAGGUCAACAGCCGGAUGAGGACAAACUUACAACGACGCCACAUACAACUAUUUUGAAACCAACUAGUACACUGUCCACUUCUACUUCCUUUUUGUCGUCUUACGAUCUUUACUGGAGGUACUCCAAAACUAGUAGAUAUUUCUGCUUCAACUUCAAAAGGACCUACAGUCUUGUCUUCAUUACAACCGAAGACACACACUUCUUCACAAAGUUCUUCAAAUACAAUCAGGACACACCUUACAACGCGGCACUAUGACAAGAUAUCUAAUGCAUUCACUGUCACAAAAUACAAUACAAAUUCACCAACUGCUAUGAAAUAUUCCACGUCUUCGAAAUUCAUAACAUUACCACCAGCUUUUA